GACGGAGGAUGCAAGCGUUAUCCGGAAUUAUUGGGCGUAAAGCGUCCGCAGGCGGUUAUUUAAGUCUGUUGUCAAAGGUCACAGCUUAACUGUGGGAAGGCAAUGGAAACUGGGUAACUGGAGCAUGGUAGGGGUAGAGGGAAUUCCCGGUGUAGCGGUGAAAUGCGUAGAUAUCGGGAAGAACACCAGUGGCGAAGGCGCUCUACUGGGCCAUGACUGACGCUGAGGGACGAAAGCUAGGGGAGCGAAAGGG
rnacentral:rRNA from 1 species